rnacentral:rRNA from 1 species
UACGUAGGGGGCGAGCGUUGUCCGGAUUUAUUGGGCGUAAAGAGCGUGUAGGCGGCCAGGUAGGUCUGCUGUGAAAACUCGAGGCUCAACCUCGAGACGUCGGCGGAAACCAUCUGGCUAGAGUCCGGAAGAGGAGAGUGGAAUUCCUGGUGUAGCGGUGAAAUGCGCAGAUAUCAGGAAGAACACCCGUGGCGAAGGCGGCUCGCUGGGACGGUACUGACGCUGAGACGCGAAAGCGUGGGGAGCGAGCAGG